AGCCUUGACUUCAACCGGUCCCUA
rnacentral:siRNA from 1 species